GGUUGAUCCUGCCAGUAGUGAUACGCUGUCAUUAAGGACUAAGCCAUGCAUGUGUAAGUAUAAGAACCACACGAGACUGCGAAUGGCUCAUUAAUAAUAAUAAUAUUAAAGUUUAUCGCUCCUAAGCUAUUCCAACAAAGGACAUAAGAUCUCUUUCAACAUCUCUCCAGGUAGCGUGAGCCGUCCACCACGCAAGGUCAGGCAACUCGGGUUCGUACUGAAAAGCACGUGUUACCAAUGCGACACCUCCGCAUUGGUGGUGAGGGUGGGAAUCGAACCCACGUCCACGCCG
rnacentral:rRNA from 1 species